rnacentral:rRNA from 1 species
CCUACGGGCGGCAGCAGUAGGGAAUCUUCGGCAAUGGACGAAAGUCUGACCGAGCAACGCCGCGUGAGUGAAGAAGGUUUUCGGAUCGUAAAACUCUGUUGUUAGAGAAGAACAAGGACGUUAGUAACUGAACGUCCCCUGACGGUAUCUAACCAGAAAGCCACGGCUAACUACGUGCCAGCAGCCGCGGUAAUACGUAGGUGGCAAGCGUUGUCCGGAUUUAUUGGGCGUAAAGCGAGCGCAGGCGGUUUCUUGAGUCUGAUGUGAAAGCCCCCGGCUCAACCGGGGAGGGUCAUUGGAAACUGGGAGACUUGAGUGCAGAAGAGGAGAGUGGAAUUCCAUGUGUAGCGGUGAAAUGCGUAGAUAUAUGGAGGAACACCAGUGGCGAAGGCGGCUCUCUGGUCUGUAACUGACGCUGAGGCUCGAAAGCGUGGGGAGCAAACAGGAUUAGAUACCCGGGUAGU